GACGAACGCUGGCGGCGUGCCUAAUACAUGCAAGUAGAGCGCUGAAGGAGGAGCUUGCUUCUCUGGAUGAGUUGCGAACGGGUGAGUAACGCGUAGGUAACCUGCCUGGUAGCGGGGGAUAACUAUUGGAAACGAUAGCUAAUACCGCAUAAUAGUAGAUGUUGCAUGACAUUUGCUUAAAAGGUGCAAUUGCAUCACUACCAGAUGGACCUGCGUUGUAUUAGCUAGUUGGUGAGGUAACGGCUCACCAAGGCAACGAUACAUAGCCGACCUGAGAGGGUGAUCGGCCACACUGGGACUGAGACACGGCCCAGACUCCUACGGGAGGCAGCAGUAGGGAAUCUUCGGCAAUGGACGGAAGUCUGACCGAGCAACGCCGCGUGAGUGAAGAAGGUUUUCGGAUCGUAAAGCUCUGUUGUAAGAGAAGAACGAGUGUGAGAGUGGAAAGUUCACACUGUGACGGUAUCUUACCAGAAAGGGACGGCUAACUACGUG
rnacentral:rRNA from 1 species